rnacentral:tRNA from 1 species
GGCGAGGCAGGCGGGCCUGCCGGCCCUCCCGAUGGUCGGGAGCAGGCGGGCAAAAUCUCUAUGCGGGAGUUCGAUUCUCCCCGUGGCCU